rnacentral:rRNA from 1 species
AUUGAACGCUGGCGGAAUGCUUUACACAUGCAAGUCGAACGGCAGCACGGACUUCGGUCUGGUGGCGAGUGGCGAACGGGUGAGUAAUGUAUCGGAACGUGCCCAGUCGUGGGGGAUAACGUAGUGAAAAUUACGCUAAUACCGCAUACGAUCUAUGGAUGAAAGCGGGGGAUCGCAAGACCUCGCGCUAUUGGAGCGGCCGAUAUCAGAUUAGGUAGUUGGUGGGGUAAAGGCCCACCAAGCCAACGAUCUGUAGCUGGUCUGAGAGGACGACCAGCCACACUGGAACUGAGACACGGUCCAGACUCCUACGGGAGGCAGCAGUGGGGAAUUUUGGACAAUGGGCAAAAGCCUGAUCCAGCCAUUCCGCGUGCAGGAUGAAGGCCCUCGGGUUGUAAACUGCUUUUGUACAGAACGAAAAGGUUUCUACUAAUACUAGGAGCUCAUGACGGUACUGUAAGAAUAAGCACCGGCUAACUACGUGCCAGCAGCCGCCGUAA